GGCAACAGGAAGAGGGGCGCUGUCUGAGACACAGGCCCUCAACCAUUGAGUGGGGAGCAAGAGAGAGAGCAAGGGACUACAACUUUAUUGGGAUCCCGGGCAUUAUCCAAGCAGACUCAUUUCAGUGGCAAUGUAAAUUUGGGAGAACGAAAUUAUCAUCUCACAUCUGCCACCAACUGCUGUUAGCUGUAGAAUGUCAUACGCGUCCAUGUGAAGAGACCACCAAACAGGAUUUGUGAUAUUGCCACGGUUUCUACGGGACUGAACAAAGGGGGACCCACACAGGAAUGAAAACUUAAAACAAAACAGCCACUAAGGAAGGCGCAGAGGGACUUCCUUUCGGCCCGAAACAGUAUCUGUGCUGCCAAACCUGUUUAGCCACCACCAUCUCUGGAACCCUGCAGUGAAGGUGUUCAGCUCCUCAUCUGUGCUCCCAGAACACCACGUGCCAACUUCGGCCCCAGGACUCAGUGCAUCACAUUCCAGUUCCAUCUUCAUAACAGUAAGCUAACAGAUAAUACCACAAUGAAUAACCUGGUUGUUUUCCUUGUGACUCAAAUGAGGAAGAAUAAACUUGGUUUAGGACUAUUCAAUGCCAGUGUUUUCAGAUGGCUCCACCAGCAGAGAACAGAGAAGGGGAGAAGAGGAAAAGCAGCUGGACGUCGGGGACUGCGGUUUGACGUCGGAGAGAAGCAGCUUGACUUCAGAGGGACAGCUUGACCGCUUUGCUUUGGAGAGGAGUCUGGCUGGGGAUGGCUGGACUCCAGGGGAAGAUCGUCUUCCUGUUCCAUCCCUUUUCCAGCUCCCCUCCCACUGAGAGCCACUUUCAUUGGCAAUAAAAUCCUCCAUAUUCACCACCCUUCAAUUCGUUCAUGCGACCUGAUUUUUCCUGGAUGCCAAACAAGAGCCCAGGUGCCACAGGUGUGGAUACUAAAGGCUGUCACACUGACCCUUUGCCCUUGCUGGCAGAGAGCAACCACUUCAUGCAAAAAGGCAGAGGGCCCACUGAGGUAUUUAACACUUAAGCUGUCCGUGGACAGCCAAGCUAAAAGAACACUGUAACACACUCCCUCUGGGGCUUCUGGGGUCCCUGGUAUUCCUGACGAGACACUGUCAUGGGGCCUGCAGGGAGUUUUGCUCCUGCCAACACCCAAAAGCACUCUUUCUGGCUCCUGCACCCGCUCACCUGCGUGCUUCCCCUUCCCUCAAGGGCUUGAGAGCUGCAGGCUGAGUAAGUAGGCACCCUUGUCACGAGGUCCAAAAAGGGAUCAAGGAAAAUUUCCUGUUUCAGUGCUUUGGCAAAAACUUGAGUCAAUGAUACAGAAAAGUUAUGAGAGUUGAAAUCCUUGUCUAGUUCCCACUCAUAAUUCACUGAUUUUUAUUUCUGUAGUUUAUAAUCUGAGGUUAAUUCUAUCCAAUAAUAUUUUCAUUGUAGUAAUUGGGUAAUUUUUAUAUUUAGAUAUUGCUUUUGGUUUCUUUUUUGUAACGUCCAGUUCUCCAUUUUUUUGGUACAUAUAAAUAAAUAUAAUAACUCUUUUAAUGUUAUUAUUUGAUAAUUUAAUCAUCUCUGUCAAUUCUAUGUUUCUAUUGACUAUUUCCCCCCCAAUCGUAAGUCUAAUUUUCUUGUUUGUAUGUGCAGUAGUUAAAAAAUUCAAAUUAAAAAUAUUGCAAAUUUCUGGCCAGGUGUGGUGGCUCAUGCUUGUAACCCCAGCAUUUUGGGAGGUGGAGGCAGGCAAAUCACUUGAGGUCUGGAGUUCUCCAGCCUGGCCAACAAGGUGAAACCUGUCUCUACUAAAAAUACAAUUAG
rnacentral:lncRNA from 10 species